GAGACUGAAAAAGGAGACCGACACCUCAAAGUAUUUCUGACUUACCGGUCUGCGGGACGCGUAGCCAGAGUACUUUUCCAAGUAUUUAUUUUGAAAGAUACUCUUGUUUUGUGAAACUUACCAGUGAUGAGGCAUACUGCUUGUGCCAGCAAAAAAAAAAAAAAAAAACGUUCAUUCUGCUUUCCAGAAGGUCGCUAUCAUCUCUAGUGGAUCUUCUGUUUUACUCAUUAUGGUGUAUAUUUAGAAAUCCUUCUUGAGUUUCAGUGUGCGUGAUUCAGAGUAUUAUAAUGCUCCAGUCAGUUAAGACAUACACCAGCUGCAAAUGUUAUUUUAUCACUUAAGAAAUUAUUUUACUGCUUUAAUAGCCCUAUCCAUUACAGGUUACUCAGGAUAUUCUUCCGUAAUCACUUUAUAAGAAUGUCAUAUAGCAAAGAGGAACUCUAUAAUAUGUUUUAUAUUCAUUAUUAAUUUAGGAACCUGUUUCCUGAUUGCUGUUGAAUUAGUGCAAUUGUUGUUGAAUUAGUGUUAUGUUCUUAUAGAAGAAGAGGAACAUAACAAUUUAUCACACAAAGGAAUAAGGGAUGAGAAGAAACAGACUGUUUACCCACUACAGCAGGUUUAAUACAUUAAAUCAGUGUAUUAUCCUGGCUCAAAAUACAUGAGGGAUGGAGUUCAAGUUCAUCAGAAGUUUUAGGUCAUCUUGAAAAUCCCUAAGGGUCUUUCAGCAUAAAGACUAGUUGCUGCUUCUGUUUCUGAGGCCUAUAUAAUUAUGUCACAGAGUUCCUCCUGAUCCAGUGCUGUGUGAAAUACCUCACCUCACUCACCUCCCCAUCUGUGUAACAACAGCAUAAAAUAAAGCUGCAUCCUCUAGUGUAAGCUAUGCAUGUUUGAAGAUACAUGUUUCUUGAAAACAGAUCAGCAGAAAAGUAUUAAAAAUAUCGUCUCCUGUAUAUUAAAUGUGUUGAUUGUCCUAGUACACAGGACUUUGAAAUGCUGCCCAAGGCCAUGAACCACAGCUAAAUGCAUCCCUGGGCCACUGGUGCUCAGUCACUGCUCAAAAGCACAACAUAAGAGGGCACACUGCACUGAGUUGUUUUCUGAUGGCUUAAGCAAUACCUUUCUGGUUAACAAACAAAAUAAAACCAGCUGUUAAUUUUAAA